rnacentral:rRNA from 1 species
AACGAACGCUGGCGGCAUGCCUAACACAUGCAAGUCGAACGAGACCUUCGGGUCUAUUGUCGCACGGGUGCGUAGCGCGUGGGAACCUUCCCUUAUGUUCGGCAUAACUCCCCGAAAGGGGUGCUAAUACCGGAUAAUGUCUUCGGACCAAAGAUUUAUCGCCUUUGGUUGUUCCCGCGUUGGAUUAGCUGGUUGGUAGGGUAAAAGCCUACCAAGGCGACGAUCCAUAGCUGGUAUGAGAGGAUGAUUAGCCACACUGGGACUGAGACACGGCCCAGAAUCGUACGGGAGGAAGCAGUGGGGAAUAUUGGACAAUGGGCGAAAGCAUGAUCCAGCAAUGCCGCGUGAGUGAUGAAGGUCUUAGGGUUGUAAAGCUCUUUUACCCGGGAUGAUAAUGACAGUACCGGGAGAAUAAGCUACGGCUAACUCCGUG